GGAGGUGGGAGAUCUUCAAAGGGAUUCAUGAGGCCUGUUCCUGUGAGAGGGGUCCACUCACUCCACCCCCGCCCCUUUGGGGGGCCUGUUUCUUUGCCUUGGCUCAGAACCGGGAGGUGCAGAUGGGGCCUCGGACUCUACAGACAGCCCAGCCUCCUGCCAGAAGAAAUCUGCGGGGUGUUUUUCCGGCGCCAUUACCCACUCACCACCCUCCGCUUCUGUGGUAUGGACCCUGAGCAACGGAAGUGGCAGAAGUACUGCAAACCCUCCUGGAUCUUUGGGUUUGUGGCCAAGAGCCAGACAGAGCCUCAGGAGAACGUAUGCCACCUCUUUGCGGAGUAUGACAUGGUCCAGCCAGCCUCGCAGGUCAUCGGCCUGGUGACUGCUCUGCUGCAGGACGCAGAAAGGAUGUAGGGGACAGACUGCCUGUGCACCUAACCAACACCUCCAGGGGCUCGCUAAGGAGCCCCCCUCCACCCCCUGAAUGGGUGUGGCUUGUGACAAUAUUGACAGACCAAUCUAUGGGACGAGGGGGAUUGGCAUCAAGUUGACACCCUUGAACCUGCUAUGGCCUUCAGCAGUCACCAUCAUCCAGACCCCCCGGGCCUCAGUUUCCUCAACCAUAGAAGGAGACCAAUAGACAAGAUCAGCUGUUCUUAGAUGCUGGUGGGCAUUUGAACGUGCUCCUCCAUGAUUCUGAAGCAUGCACACCUCUGAAGACCCCUGCAUGAAAAUAACCUCCAAGGACCCUCUGACCCCAUCGACCUGGGCCCUGCCGACACAACAGUCUGAGCGAGAGACCUGCAGCCCCUGUUUCAUGGCAGACAGCAGGUGCCUGGCGGUGACCCACGGGGCUCCUGGCUUGCAGCUGGUGAUGGUCAAGAACUGACUACAAAAUGGGAAUGGAUAGACUCUAUUUCCUUCCAUAUCUGUUCCUCUGUUCCUUUUCCCACUUUCUGGGUGGCUUUUUGGGUCCACCCAGCCAGGAUGCUGCAGGCCAAGCUGGGUGUGGUAUUUAGGGCAGCUCAGCAGGGGGAACUUGUCCCCAUGGUCAGAGGAGACCCAGCUGUCCUGCACCCCCUUGCAGAUGAGUAUCACCCCAUCUUUUCUUUCCACUUGUUUUUUAUUUUUUAUUUUUUUGAGACAGAGUCUCACUGUCACCCAGGCUGAACUGCAGUGGUGUGAUCUAGGCUCACUGCAACUUCCACCUCCCAGGUUCAAGCAAUUAUCCUGCCUCAGGCUCCCGAGUAGCUGGGAUUACAGGCAUGUGCAACUCACCCAGCUAAUUUUGUAUUUUUAGUAGAGACAGGGUUUCACCAUGUUGGCCAGGCUGGUCUUGAACUCCUGACCUCAGGUAAUCCACCUGCUUCGGCCUCCCAAAGUGCUGGGAUUACAGGCGCGAGCCACCUGGCCCAGCUUCUUUCCAUUCCUUGAUAGGCGAGUAUUCCAAAGCUGGUAUCGUAGCUGCCCUAAUGUUGCAUAUUAGGCGGUGGGGGCAGAGAUAAGGGCCAUCCCUCUGUGAUUCUGCCUCAGCUCCUGUCUUGCUGAGCCCUCCCCCAACCCACGCUCCAACACACACACACACACACACACACACCCCUCUACUGCUAUGUGGCUUCAACCAGCCUCACAGCCACACGGGGGCAGCAGAGAGUCAAGAAUGCAAAGAGGCCGCUUCCCUAAGAGGCUUGGAGGAGCUGGGCUCUAUCCCACACCCACCCCCACCCCACCCCCACCCAGCCUCCAGAAGCUGGAACCAUUUCUCCCGCAGGCCUGAGUUCCUAAGGAAACCACCCUACCGGGGUGGAAGGGAGGGUCAGGGAAGAAACCCACUCUUGCUCUACGAGGAGCAAGUGCCUGCCCCCUCCCAGCAGCCAGCCCUGCCAAAGUUGCAUUAUCUUUGGCCAAGGCUGGGCCUGACGGUUAUGAUUUCAGCCCUGGGCCUGCGGGACAGGCUGAGACCAGCCCACCCAGCCAGUGGUCGAGCACUGCCCCGCCGCCAAAGUCUGCAGAAUGUGAGAUGAGGUUCUCAAGGUCACAGGCCCCAGUCCCAGCCUGGGGGCUGGCAGAGGCCCCGCAUUCUCUGCUACAGCUCCUAUCAUGAAAAAUAAAAUGUUUGUCUUUGCAAAACAGUAA
rnacentral:sRNA from 1 species